UACGAAGGGGGCUAGCGUUGCUCGGAAUCACUGGGCGUAAAGGGCGCGUAGGCGGCCAUUCAAGUCGGGGGUGAAAGCCCAGGGCUCAACCCUGGAAUUGCCUUCGAUACUGUUUGGCUAGAGACCGGAAGAGGUAAGUGGAACUGCGAGUGCAGAGGUGAAAUUCGUAGAUAUUCGCAAGAACACCAGUGGCGAAGGCGGCUUACUGGUCCGGUUCUGACGCUGAGGCGCGAAAGCGUGGGGAGCAAACAGG
rnacentral:rRNA from 1 species